AGGGGCUAUGCCCCACCGGCGGGGCGGGGGCCAGCCGCGCGUCGCGCUCUGCCCCGCCUUGCCUUGGGCGCGGCGCACUUGGCACAAGCAGCAAUUAAUGGCUUCGGGGAGCGCGGACGGUGCUGGCCGGGGUGGCUCCGAGGCGACGGCAGUCGGGCAGCCCGUUAACGCCGGGGCGGGGGGGCUUCCUUCUUCCCCCCCUCCCUCCCCUGUUGGUUCGGCCCGUCCCGCCCCUCCCGAGCCCGUGACAGGUGGAGCGGCACCCGACGCGUGCGCGCGCCCCCGCCCGCGGCCGUCACGUGGCGCCGCGCGCGCCUCGCGCGAGACUCGCGGCGCGAGGGGUCUCGCGAUGCCUCGGCGGCCCCGGGGCGUGAGGGCGGGGAAGGGCCCGGCCCGGGCUUGGAGCGGCGGGAAAGUCGCGAGGGAGGGAAGGGAAGAGGAAAGCCUGGGAAUUCGGGCUUCUGGGGACGCCUCGCGCGUGAGUAAAGGUCUGGAUUUCUUGGCGCGCCGGAGGGGAAGGGGCUUGGCUUUGCUGCUUUCUUCUUCUUCAUACAGCUGAACGCGACCCCCAGGCCACCCUGUGGCUGGAGCGUUGCCUGGGCAUCAUGGAAUGGCCUGGGUUGGAAGGCAUCUUAAAGAUCAUCCAGUUCCAACCCCCUGCCAUGGGUCCCUUUUCACCAGACCAGAGUGCUCGGAGCUCCGUUCAACGUGGCCCUGAACAAUUCCAGGGAUGUGGCAUCCACAGCUUCUCUGGGCAACCUGUGCCAGUGCAUCACCACCAUCCUCGGAUUCCUUGGGUCCUCGACCCUUCCCAGCUCACCCGGGAAGCCGAGGAAUCAGUUUUCUCCUUACAGUGCCACGCAGCCAGGAGGCUUUAUGGUGUUUUUUUUUUAAGUGAGGUGUUUGUAAAUUGUUUGAUUGCGGCUCUCCUGUGGUGCAUAUGAGAAGGUGAGUCUACUGUGGAGGCACAGCUCAUCCCCCUUUUGCUGGAAAUGGAUCAGAACGUUGUUCCGUAACAAGUCUGUGUUGCUUCUCCAGUGUCAGGCUGAAGCCCCAUGUCUGGACAGGCUUUUCCCAUUGGAAUUUCCUCUUCUAUGAUUGCUAGAUGCUCUAAAGCAAAGGUGAAGCCAUCGAGUGCCUUUGGGAAUUAUGUGAGCAAGGUCAAUGGCCAAACUAUGCAAGGGAUGUUCAGUCACAGUACUGUUGCUCGCUGGGUCUCCUUUAAUUGCUACCCUCAGAUCAUGUGCUCAUUAUGUUGAAGCACUCUUCUGUCUCUGUAGGUGCUAAAUUAACAUUUAUGCACCAGUGAUGUUUUCCAGGUGGAUCCUCACAUUUUUUUCUGGUCCCGAUGGUGCAGGGACACUGACGGGAGUGGAGAUCUGGGCAAGACAAAGUCUUGAAUAAUGCAAACAAAGACUCAAAUUAGGAUGUCCUGGCUCCCCUUAAAACCAAACUAUUGUCGUAUAGCUCUGCUUUCUCUUGGAAGUGCAGGGAGAACAGAAGAGCACCUGGGUUUGCUGAGGUUGCAUAUCUUCAUAAACAAGCAGCCAGUUUGUCAGAGUAUUUGUAUAAGAGUUUGGAGUGCAGAUAAAACCCAAGUUAUUUUUGGUUCUGGAAAUGGGCCGCAGUCUGCUAAUAGUGAAAACAGCUGUGAUCAAACAUCUGCCUUCUUCUGUAUUGUCCAUGGAUUCUCUGUCCUGUGUUUUCUCAGCAGUGUUUCCUCAGGUACCGAGCUUGGCACCAAGGACUUCACUGGCUGGGAACAUGCCAAAAAUAAGCUGAAAACAACUCCUGAAGUCACUGCCAGAAGAAGCUGAUUUGGAAGGAAGACUCUGCUCCAACAGUGGGAUUCAAGCUCUCAUCUUAAUGAUGUCCAAGGUAGUUGUGAUAUCUCAAGCAUUUGGGUUCACUGACAAAUAGGACGAGCCUGAGCACAUAUAUAGGGACACAAUCCCAGGAAAAGAACUUUGUGUAGCACGGAACAGGGAAAGGAUGACCUGCUUUCAGGUCUGCUUUUUCUUUGUUCUCUCGUCAGUAUUACAUUUCACUGCCAUCAACUCCAAAAAUCAAAUGUGUAGUUUGCCAUUGUCAACAAGGCAGGUACCACCAACCUGCUUUCUCAAAACCACAUUUUUUCCUGGACAAAUUGGCUUUGUUUUGUAUGUCUCUGUAGCUUUUGCUUUACAAAAGGGCAGAGGUUCAGUGCAACAUUUCUGUGGUCAUACCAAGUGUACUGAAAAGCCAAACAUGCUUCAUGAAGGUUUUCUGCCUUGAGAGGAUGACUGCGAUUCUCUUACUGUCUGACCUCCCCAUCUGGUCCAUUCUCAGAUGCUUGUUUCCAAGAAUAAGGAUUUAGAGAAACUAUUGAUUCUUUAUUAACAUAUUUGGUGUCACUUCAAAGUCAGUAGCAAAUUUGAAGUAGAUGAGUCCCUACUGGAUCCAAUUGAAAUCUUAUGGCAUUCUAUAGUCCAAGACUUACUAGCUAGUCACCUACAGCAAGAUUCAUCAUUUCAGCCCUUAUUAAAACUAAGGGCUUGAAGUUGGGCAUAUCAGUUCCAACUGGGCUUUCAUUCCUGCUUUUUGAAGUUCUUGGCAGCUGUAAGCCAUGAGCUGCUGAGGAGGUGAGGGCAGCAGUCAUCCCCUUCACACAAGAGUCUGAAGCAGCUCAGGAGGCACCUGUGAUCUCUGCUGACGCUGCUGUUCAGAAAGGAUUUUGAGGUGUGCAGUCAACAUCAUGCUCAGAAUGGCUCAGAGGACCUCAGACUCUAAGGCAAAUCCUUUUGCAGUAGCUCAGGAGCAAUGUGACAGGACAACAACCUUGGAUGUGUGGGACACAACUGAAAAACAGCAAAGAAAAGGCAGGCAAACCAAGAGAACUCACAGGGUACCAUUUUGUGUCUUACAAAAGAUAAAUCUAAUGCCUGCAUUUUUACCAUCUUGCCAAAUUUUAGUCAAGUUGCCCAAAAUAUGUGAGUAUCAGCAUAUAAAGGAAAGCAGCUUAAAGUAAUACAACCUGACAAGAGGUCAGUCAGGGAGAAACCAUCCCCUUCAUUUAACCUCCCACUUUUAUUAACACAUUGUUUGUUUCUACAUCUGUUUUCCUCACUGUUCUUUUCUUCAUUUACUCCAAGGUAAAAGCAGAAAAUCUUGAAUUGUUAAACUGUUUUGUUCUUGAAAUUUGGAACAAAAAAGCCCCCAGUACUUCAUUUUUGUAUUUUAGCAGUAGCUCCUGUGUUGUCCAGGAGUUCACAAUAAAAUGAUCUGCAAAUUACAUUUUCUUUGUACUUCCCUCAUUAAAGUUCUGAUGAGUGUGUGUGUGAUCUGUGUUAUAUUUUGACAGUGUAUCGUGGUCAAGAAAGUGGAGGAAACUGAUAUAAAACUCAAGGGGUUUGUUUUGGUUUGAUUUAUUUUUUUUCCCCAAAAUGCACAAAAAGGCAAAUGUUCUUGCUGGCAAUAAGGAAAAUCAGUGCAUUUGUAGAAGAGUUAUUAUUAAAAAUAGAAAAUAUUGGGAAAAAAAGUCAUUCUGAUACUGUUUAUCCUUACAUUGAUGAAAAAAUUGCUCUUCAAUCUCAGAAAUACCUUACUAACUUUGGGUAGUGAGGGGAGUAAAAGUGAACUGAUCUAGGAAAUGUGUUACUAUAAAGAAAAAAGGAUAUUUUUCUUUCAUAAAGCAUUAAAAAACUAGUUAUUACUAAAUGCUUUAGUUAUAGACCUUAAUUAGUAUUGCUCUGUCUUGCUUAAAUCUUGCAGUCAUUUUUGUGUGUUGCCCUCUAUUCCCCUUGGUAAACAUGACUUUUAAAACCUGGAUUGUCUCUGAAAGGCUUAAUGCUGAAAUUCAUCUGGAAUUCCCGUGGUAGUUCAUGGUCAUAAGAAGUGCCCACAGUUACCAGGUAAACGCCAACGUCCAUCACUGUGCAGCAACAUGGAAAACCAUGAAUUCGUAUGCAUGACCCUGACUGUAUUUUGAGCUGCUCAUGAAAUUCAGAAAUCAGGGGGUUUUGGAUAUUCUGUAGAUUUGCUGUGUGAGAGACGUUCUCUGCAUGUCAGCAUGAGCCCACUGACCUGUUUGCUGAAGUGUGACCAACAGAAGAAGAGACUUUUAGAAAAACUACCACUGUAUCAUGCUUUUUGUGCUCUAUAGAUCUGUAAUACCAACAGUCUCUGCAGAGCUGGAGAAAUAAAUAAUACAAAAAAUUAUACUUGUCCAGGAAGUGGUUCCUUUACGCUACUUCUGUUAGUAGAUUUUUAAUUUUAUUUACAGUCCUGCCUGUACCUCCUGCCCCUGGCAGCUCUGAUGGUGUCCAUUCAUGUGUAUUCCAGAUGUGGACUGCUUUCAUUUGUAGGAAUAGUCUUGGAAGGUAAGUAGGUAAGUGUCUGCCCUCCCUCUAGGAACCAGUUGUGUCAACUUGUCACUUGCCACCUUCCGAAGAACUCGCCUGUUUGAGAGAAGAGGAUCACAAACAAGGAUCUCUGCUCUUCCAAAACUGCAGAAAAAGUGGGAUUUCUUGCAUUCGUCACUAUGCAGGAAUUUAAUGUGUCUGUUGAGAAGCUGAAGAUAAAAUGCUGUGUUUAUAUUAACUUCUCUUCAGAUUGACAAUUGUAACUAUAGAACUUGGCCAAUGCUGUCAGGGAGGGGAAAAAAAACCCCAGCUUUGUGUUUCUUUAGUGGUCUUGUAUGUACUGACUUAAAGUAAGUUGCUGAGCUGAUACUUUUGUAGCCAACUGGUUUUCUGGCUUGUAGGUAAAAACAAGUAAAUUGCAUUUGUAAACCAGCUCUGAGCAAAGGAUUUCUGUGUAAGCAUUUGAAAAGAGCCAUUUGUGAUGCUGAGUGAGCUAGGCGAGUGGAUAUCUUGUUAACUUCUGUAAAUCCUGGGACAGAAUGCAGUAUUAUCCAAAAUACAUUAUUAUCUGAUAUUUUUGUUCUCAUGGAGCAGAGGGUGUCACGUGCUCUUACUGGAUUUAAUUUAGCAGUGUCAUAGAAAAAUCUUUUCAAGAAAGUAUCUGAGAAUUAUUUAUUUUAAAAGCCUCAUCCAUUGUGUAUAUUGCUUUUUGUUAAUGUUCUUGUGGGUGUCUGAAAGGAUAAAACCUUCAGUAACCAA